rnacentral:rRNA from 1 species
UACGUAGGGGGCAAGCGUUGUCCGGAUUUAUUGGGCGUAAAGAGCGUGUAGGCGGCCAUACAGGUCAGCUGUGAAAACUCGAGGCUCAACCUCGAGACGUCGGUUGAAACCGUAUGGCUAGAGUCCGGAAGAGGAGAGUGGAAUUCCUGGUGUAGCGGUGAAAUGCGCAGAUAUCAGGAGGAACACCAGUGGCGAAGGCAGCACUCUGGGGCGGUACUGACGCUGAGACGCGAAAGCGUGGGGAGCAAACAGG